rnacentral:rRNA from 1 species
CCCUUAGAUGUUCUGGGCUGCACGCGCGCUACACUGACAUGUCCAGCGAGCUCCCAACCUGCUCGGCAAAGAAUGGGUACCCUUUUUAACGCAUGUCGUGAUGGGGAUAGAUUAUUGCAAUUGUUGAUCUUGAACGAGGAAUUCCUAGUAAGUGCAAGUCAUUAGCUUGUGCUGAAUACGUCCCUGCCCUUUGUACACACCGCCCGUCGCUCCUACCGAUUGAAUGUGUUGGUGAGGAGCUCGGAUUGGCAGCAGUUGGUGGUUCGCCACCGGCUAUUGCUGAGAAGUCCUCCAAACCGCCCCAUUUAGAGGAAGGAGAAGUCGUAACA